rnacentral:lncRNA from 1 species
GGCUCAGAGCCUGUCUCUGGUGACCACUGAAUUGUCCAGCACCUGAGGUCCCUGGAGCCCACGGACUGAGCCCAUCUGGGCUAAAAGAGGUCCCAUACAUCCUUCUCAAAGGCCUAUAUAAAUGCCAAGCAGAGUUAUAGCAGGCCUUGCGUGGAUGAAACAGUCCCAACGAACACUUUAAAAAGACAAAUGUUCCCGACAGCACUGGUUGAAUUCAAAACUCGGCAGAUCCAUGUUCUUAUCCUUAGACAAGAGAGGGGCCAUAACAAGAUGGAAUGACGGAACAGACGUGAGAGAUGAUGGUACAGUGACUCGGGUAACCCCAGAAAAGGGACAGCUCUUCUACAGCUCAGUGGGGACAGGGACAAAAAGAAACAAUUUCAUUUCAGUCCACCCAGAGGGUCUGCACUUCUCGGAGCCAGAAGGUGGAGAAGAGUAGGGAUGGAGGAAGUUCGAAGUUUUAGGAGUCUGCUCUUGGGUCCCUAGGCAUGAGGACAAGCUUUUCCUGUACUCAAUGCUCAUCUCUCAGUUGUGCCCACAUUGGUACACAUUACUUGCUUUCAACUGCUGCUGCUGCUGU